rnacentral:lncRNA from 1 species
UAAUUCUAAGAGUUUUAUAAAAUCUAAAAACACAUAAGAAGCUAGUCCAUGCCGGAGGUUCAAGGCAUCAAGACAUGAAGAAGAAGAUCCAGUCCAAGCUAGACGCAUUAGCUCACCCUGAAGAUCCGAUGUGACGAAGACUGGCAAGAGUUACUGUUGAGUCGAAGAUGACGACACGUUUGCUGCACUCCACAAUUAAACAAGAAGAAAACAAUAAAAGUAGGGGUCAGUACAAAGCACGGGUACUGAGUAGAUAUCAUCGGCCAACUCAAAAUAGAAAACAGUAUAUACCAAGUAAUAUCAUAAAAUCAACUAUGAUACUCAACAUGUAGCAACAACAAGCACUAUAUCAUUAACAAUUACCGUCAAGUUCACACAUGAGGACUCAAGCCCCAAUACCAUACUCAUUUGGGAAUCAUGUUCAUUAGAUUGAGUAUAUUAACAUCUUUCAAGAUUCAUUAUCUUUAUUUCUCUUGUGUCGGUACGUGACACUCCGCUCCACCAUAUUUAUUAUUCCUCUUGUGUCGGUACGUGACACUCCGAUCCCCUAAAUCUACGUGUCGGUUCGUGACACCCGAUCCCCUAAAUCUACGUGUCGGUUCGUGACACCCGAUCCCCUAAUUCUAUGUGUCGGUUCGUGACACCCGAUCCCCUAAUUCUACGUGUCGGUUCGUGACACCCGAUCCCCUAAAUCUACGUGUCGGUUCGUGACACCCGAUCCCCUAAUUCUACGUGUCGGUUCGUGACACUCCGAUCCACUAAUAUCAUUCUGUAAAUCAUCAAGCCUUCUCUAUACCAAGGCAUCAUCAAUCCCAUUGCUUUAAUUCAUCAAGCCUUCUUCUAUACCAAGGCAUCAUCAUUAAUAAUGUAUAUUAAAGUUUCUUUUCAAGAUUUGGGAUUCAAUAUUUUCAUCAUGCUUAUCUUAUCACAAUCACAUAAUCAUAUUCAUGCAAGCAUACAAUUAAGCAUAUAGCAGGGUUUACAAUAUUAUCAAUACAUAUCAUUCUCUAUUAAGAGUUUACUACGAAUAUCGUAAGGGAAACCAUAACCUACCUCCACCGAAGAAUUGGAAUCAACAAGCAAUCUCCCAAGCUUUGAUAUUCUUCUUCCUCGUUCGACUCUCUCUCUCAAUCGAUCAAUCUAUCUCCCUCUUUUCUUUUCUCUUUUCUUAUUCAAAACCCCCUUUCUUUUACCCUAAUUAACAUAUAACUAAGUGUAAAAGAUGACAAUAAUACCCCACUAAUUAAACCAAAAUUACCUCUUUUAUCCCUCAAGAAUUUUGAGUUAUUAAUGUAAACCCACGAAGUCUAUAAUUAAGGAAAGAAUAGUCCAAAACGUCCCUUAAAACGUGUAAAGAAAUCCGAUUCUAACUAGGAUUGCGUAACCUGUGACGGGCCGUCGUGACUGCGACGGUCCGUCACUCAGGUCGUCGUGAGGGCCAGGACUUUAUUUUCACCAAGGACACUGUGACGGUCCGUCACACCUGUGACGGUCCGUCCUGCAAGUCCGUUACGAAGUUCAGAGAGUCGAUUUUCAGUACCCAAUUUCAGAAUUCCUAAGUAAAUUGAAACGAGACAUCUGUGACGGACCGUCGUGCCUGUGACGGUCCGUCGUGGGUUCCGUUGUUUCAGCCAAUUUUCCAGAAAUAAAAUCUGCUGCUCAAAACGACUAAACAGGUCGUUACAG